AAGAUCACUGUGUACUUGUCCAGUCGAGGAAGAGUGAGAUCAUCUAAUCUUUGUGCUUAUUAUGUAUUUGCAAAAUUUAAACCCCGCACCCUAACAUUUGUCCUAAUCAAUGAAAUGAUAUGCUGUUUUUGUAGCAUGGAAUUGCAGACUUGUAAGUGUAAUUCGUGAAAUAUAAGCAACGAUGAAUUGAAACAUUUGUAAUUUCCAUAUAAAUCUCCAAUUUUCUGCUAUUGAAACAACACAAGGCUUCGUAUUAGAUUUUUUGAAUGAAAAACAAUGUAUUAAACUCCAUAAGGAGAAGAACAAAACAUUCCAUUAAAGGAGGAAUUACACUCCAUGAUAGGAGGAACAAACAACUCCAAAAUAGGAGGAUGAUGACACUCCAUAAUAAGAGGAAGAGAAAGACACUCCACAAAGUAGGAAAGACACUCCAUAUAGGAGGAAGAAACCUCCUUGGAAGGUGGGAUUGGAGACUACAAUUAAAUGAAUUAAAAUGUGUACAAACUCUAGUAUUUAUAGAGAAAAUAAUUAGCUAACUAGGAAGUCUGUAGAAUCUAGAAAUUCUGGAAUAAGAAGUAAUCUGUCGGACAUGGACUUGGUUGGGCUGGAAGUGAAUAUCCUGUUAAGCUGGAAUAUUCUGCUGAUGUGGAUUUUAUAUUCCAACCCCCCCUCAAGAUGGACUUGAAGAUCCAUCUUGAAGAUUAAGUAGUGAAAACAAGUUUUGACAGAAUAAUGGCUUCUGAAAUGGAAACGUCUUCUGAUGGCUCAGAAGCUUGUGGUGGCUUUGCACAUUCCUUCAUUAGAUUUCAUAGAUGAUCGAAGUGGACAAUGAAGUGGUUUUGAAGAUGAUUUUCCAAUUUUCUACAGUGAAUUUGCAUCUCAAACCAGCAUAUCUAAUUAGAAGCUCCAAUCAAUAUUCUAGAUUGUCAAUGUGGAAGGAUCAACAGAAUGUUCACCAAUUUCCAACCAGCAAAGGGACAAUUCCAACAAAUGAGAUCAGAAACUUUAAUGACAAGCAUGUAACCUGCUAAAAUGAGUGACGAAGUUAGGGUUUCAAGAUCCUCUAAAGUCUCCACUAUUGACGUAUCAAAUUUGCAGAUAUUUCAACAAUAUCAAUACUUCUGGAAGGAGUUUGGAAAGAUUGGGAAAGGAAACCGUUGAUGUUCAAGAUCUGAAGAGAACCAAAUUUGAAAGAAUCUCACUGUAUUUGCAUCUAAAUCCAGUCAAAGCUUCCAGCUUCAACGGUACAAUCUCCACCGAAUCCGAAUCCUCUUUCUUCAAAUCCUUACAGAUCUGAAUCUGAUUGAAUUUAUUCUCCAGCAAAGACUUUGAGAACGAGCUUGAUCUAAAUAAUAUCUCAGAUCCGGCCGCCGUCAUGACCACAAAUCAUUUUGAUGAUAACUCCAGAUCCGUUCUUCAAGCAGUAGCUGAAACCAAUCGGACCUUAUUUAUGAUUAAAGGAACUGAAAAUCUACUGGCUACUGAAAAUGAAAAUUUCCAGAAUUUUGCCGAAAUGAAAGAAAUACAGCAAAAUUAAUACUGCAGCAGGAAGCCUAUGCUCUGAUACCAUAUUAGAUUUAUUGAAUGAAAAACAAUGUAUUAAACUCCAUAAGGAGAAGAACAAAACACUCCAUUAAAGGAGGAAUUACACUCCAUGAUAGGAGGAACAAACAACUCCAAAAUAGGAAGAUGAUAACACUCCAUAAUAAGAGGAAGAGAAAGACACUCCACAAAGGAGGAAAGACACUCCAUAUAGGAGGAAGAAACCUCCAUGGAAGGAGGGAUUGGAGACUACAAUCCAAUGAAUUAAAAUGUGUACAAACUCUAGUAUUUAUAGAGAAAAUAACUAGCUAACUAGGAAGUCUCUAGAAUUUGGAAAUUCUGGAAUAAGAAGUAAUCUGCUGGACAUGGACUUGGUUGAGCUGGAAGUGAAUAUCCCGUUAAGCUGGAAUAUUCUGCUGAUGUGGAUUUUAUAUUCCAACACUUCGUUUGAUCUUGAAUCUCAUAGAGGAAAGCCUUAAUUGUGUUUUUAUCUACUGAAAUUUUUGACCUAAAAUAUGUCCCACAAAUGAGAUAGAUGGGGAGAUUUCUUCUGCACGUGUUAUUCGCUGACAAUAUGCACGUCAGUCUUUAAGUCCAAUGUGUUUUAAAGUUUGCAGGUUCAACUUUUAUUUGGGUAGGUCGAAAAAGAAAAGGCAUGGUUUUUUGUUUUUUCCUUUUCCCUAUUCUUGAUCUGGAUCCAAAUGGAGCUCAAAGUAAAAAAUCUUAGGAUUGAUUUUGUUUUUGAAUAUCCUGACAACAACUCAAACCUCCCUUUCGUAGAUAAUUUAUAAUUAUCUAGUGGUGCUUUCUUAGUUAUACAAAGCUAACCCUCCC
rnacentral:lncRNA from 1 species